rnacentral:rRNA from 1 species
AUUGAACGCUGGCGGCAGGCUUAACACAUGCAAGUCGAACGAGUGGCGGACGGGUGAGUAAUGUCUGGGAACCUGCCUGAUGGAGGGGGAUAACUACUGGAAACGGUAGCUAAUACCGCAUACCAUCGGAUGUGCCCAUAUGGGAUUAGCUAGUUGGUGGGGUAAAGGCUCACCUAGGCGACGAUCCCUAGCUGGUCUGAGAGGAUGACCAGCCACACUGGAACUGAGACACGGGCCAGACUCCUACGGGAGGCAGCAGUGGGGAAUAUUGGACAAUGGGCGCAAGCCUGAUGCAGCCAUGCCACGUGUAUGAUGAAGGCCUUCGGGUUGUAAAGUACUUUCAGCGGGGAGGCGGUACCCGCAGAAGAAGCACCGGCUAACUCCGUGCCAGCAGCCGCGGUAAUAC